GAUCAUGGCUCAGGACGAACGCUGGCGGCGCGCCUAACACAUGCAAGUCGAACGAGCGAGAGAGAGUUUACUUUUUCGAGCGAGUGGCGAACGGGUGAGUAACGCGUGAGGAACCUGCCUCAAAGAGGGGGACGAACAGUUGGAACGACUGCUAAUACCGCAUAAGCCACGACCCGGCCAUCGGGUAGAGGGAAAAGGAGCAAUCCGCUUUGAGAUGGCCUCGCGUCCGAUUAGCUAGUUGGUGAGG
rnacentral:rRNA from 1 species